rnacentral:rRNA from 1 species
ACUCCUACGGGUGGCUGCAGUAGGGAAUCUUCCGCAAUGGGCGAAAGCCUGACGGAGCAACGCCGCGUGAGUGAUGAAGGUCUUCGGAUCGUAAAACUCUGUUAUUAGGGAAGAACAAAUGUGUAAGUAACUAUGCACGUCUUGACGGUACCUAAUCAGAAAGCCACGGCUAACUACGUGCCAGCAGCCGCGGUAAUACGUAGGUGGCAAGCGUUAUCCGGAAUUAUUGGGCGUAAAGCGCGCGUAGGCGGUUUUUUAAGUCUGAUGUGAAAGCCCACGGCUCAACCGUGGAGGGUCAUUGGAAACUGGAAAACUUGAGUGCAGAAGAGGAAAGUGGAAUUCCAUGUGUAGCGGUGAAAUGCGCAGAGAUAUGGAGGAACACCAGUGGCGAAGGCGACUUUCUGGUCUGUAACUGACGCUGAUGUGCGAAAGCGUGGGGAUCAAACAGGAUUAGAUACCCUGGUAGUCCACGCCGUAAACGAUGAGUGCUAAGUGUUAGGGGGUUUCCGCCCCUUAGUGCUGCAGCUAACGCAUUAAGCACUCCGCCUGGGGAGUACGACCGCAAGGUUGARACUCAAAGGAAUUGACGGGGACCCGCACAAGCGGUGGAGCAUGUGGUUUAAUUCGAAGCAACGCGAAGAACCUUACCAAAUCUUGACAUCCUCUGACCCCUCUAGAGAUAGAGUUUUCCCCUUCGGGGGACAGAGUG